ACGGGAGGCAGCAGUGAGGAAUAUUGGUCAAUGGUCGGAAGACUGAACCAGCCAAGUAGCGUGAAGGAUGACUGCCCUAUGGGUUGUAAACUUCUUUUAUGCGGGAAUAAAAAGGAUUACGUGUAGUCUGUUGCAUGUACCGCAUGAAUAAGGAUCGGCUAAUUCCGUGCCAGCAGCCGCGGUAAUACGGAAGAUGCGAGCGUUAUCCGGAUUUAUUGGGUUUAAAGGGAGCGUAGGCGGCCUUUUAAGUCAGCGGUCAAAUGUCAGCGCCCAACGCUGGCCUGCCGUUGAUACUGAUGGGCUUGAAUACACACAAGGAAGGUGGAAUUCGCCGUGUAGCGGUGAAAUGCUUAGAUAUGACGAAGAACUCCGAUUGCGAAGGCAGCCUUCUGGAGUGCGAUUGACGCUGAGGCUCGAAAGCGCGGGUAUCAAACAGGAUUAGAUACCCUGGUA
rnacentral:rRNA from 1 species